AAGGAUUUAAGUUAAAUAAACUAUUAACCUUCAAAGUUAAAAAUAAAUUAAAUUUUAAGCCUUA
rnacentral:tRNA from 1 species